CCUACGGGAGGCAGCAGUGGGGGAUAUUGCACAAUGGGGGGAACCCUGAUGCAGCGACGCCGCGUGGGUGAAGAAGCGCCUCGGCGCGUAAAGCCCUGUCAGCAGGGAAGAAAAUGACGGUACCUGAAGAAGAAGCCCCGGCUAACUACGUGCCAGCAGCCGCGGUAAUACGUAGGGGGCAAGCGUUAUCCGGAUUUACUGGGUGGAAAGGGGGCGCAGACGGCGAUGCAAGCCAGGAGUGAAAGCCCGGGGCCGAACCCCGGGACUGCUCGUGGAACUGCGUGGCUGGAGUGCAGGAGGGGCAGGCGGAAUUCCUGGUGUAGCGGUGAAAUGCGUAGAUAUCAGGAGGAACACCGGUGGCGAAGGCGGCCUGCUGGACUGCAACUGACGUUGAGGCCCGAAAGCGUGGGGAGCAAACAGGAUUAGAUACCCGAGUAGUC
rnacentral:rRNA from 1 species